UGUGCUUGGCCUGUGGCUUCAGAGACCUGCAGCACAUUCUCUUCAUCAAAGAGAAGGCGUUAGCAGGCACUGUGCAAUUCCCUUGAAUCUGGGUUAACCUUAGGGAAGGAUCGGGAUUGAAUUACCUUCCAGGUGGUGAGGAUAAGAGAAGACGGAUAUCCCACAAACCCGGAAGCAGGCUCUUACCAGACGCCAGAUCUGCCAGCACCUUGAUCUUGAACUUGCCAGCCUCUAGAACUGUGAGAAUAAACGUUUGUUGUCUAAGCCACCCAUUCUAUAGUAAUUUGUUACAGCAAACUGAUUAAGACACCCAGUGUUUGCAGUAUUAUUUACAAUGCCAAGGGUGGAAGCAGUACAGUGUGUCCAUCAAGAGACGGAAUGGAUAAAUGUGCUAUAUACAUACAAUGGAAUAUUAU